GAUGAACGCUGGCGGCGUGCUUAACACAUGCAAGUCGAACGAAUCACUUUAUUUAAUUUCCUUCGGGACUGAUUAUUGUGUGACUGAUUGGCGGAGGGGUGAGUAACGCGUGGGUAACCUGGGUUGUACAGGGGGAUAACAGUUGUAAACGGCUGCUAAUAGCGCAUAAGCGCACAGCAUCGCAUGAUGCAGUUUGAACAAGUCCGGUGGUAGAAGAUGGACCCCCGUUGGAUUAGCUAGUUGGUGAGGUAACGGCCCACCAAGGCGACGAUCCAUAGCUGACGUGAGAGGGUGACCGGCCACAUUGGGACUUAGACACGGCCCAAACUCCUACGGGAGGCAGCAGUGGGGAAUAUUGCACAAUGGGCGAAAGCCUGAUGCAGCGACGCCGCGUGAGCGAAGAAGUAUUUCGGUAUGUAAAGCUCUAUCAGCAGGGAAGAUAAUGACGGUACCUGACGAAUAAGCACCGGCUAAAUACGUG
rnacentral:rRNA from 1 species